rnacentral:rRNA from 1 species
GGAAUUUUGGACAAUGGGCGAAAGCCUGAUCCAGCAAUGCCGCGUGAGUGAAGAAGGCCUUCGGGUUGUAAAGCUCUUUUGUCAGGGAAGAAACGGUGAGAGCUAAUAUCUCUUGCUAAUGACGGUACCUGAAGAAUAAGCACCGGCUAACUACGUGCCAGCAGCCGCGGUAAUACGUAGGGUGCAAGCGUUAAUCGGAAUUACUGGGCGUAAAGCGUGCGCAGGCGGUUUUGUAAGUCUGAUGUGAAAUCCCCGGGCUCAACCUGGGAAUUGCAUUGGAGACUGCAAGGCUAGAAUCUGGCAGAGGGGGGUAGAAUUCCACGUGUAGCAGUGAAAUGCGUAGAUAUGUGGAGGAACACCGAUGGCGAAGGCAGCCCCCUGGGUCAAGAUUGACGCUCAUGCACGAAAGCGUGGGGAGCAAACAGGAUUAGAUACCCUUG